CGAACGCUGGCGGCGUGCUUAACACAUGCAAGUCGAACGAGACGAUUUUAAGCUUGCUUAGAUGAGUCGAGUGGCAAACGGGUGAGUAACGCGUAGACAACCUGCCGCAAAGAUGGGGACAACAGUCCGAAAGGACUGCUAAUACCGAAUGUUGUCAGAUUCCCGCAUGGGAGACUGAUUAAAGAUGGCCUCUACUUGUAAGCUAUCGCUUUGUGAUGGGUCUGCGUCUGAUUAGCUAGUUGGUGGGGUAACGGCCUACCAAGGCGACGAUCAGUAGCCGGUCUGAGAGGAUGAACGGCCACAUUGGAACUGAGACACGGUCCAGACUCCUACGGGAGGCAGCAGUGGGGAAUCUUCCGCAAUGGGCGAAAGCCUGACGGAGCAACGCCGCGUGAGUGAAAGAAGGGUUUCGGCUCGUAAAGCUCUGUUGACGGGGACGAAUGUGCGAAAUGCGAAUAGUUUUUCGCAAUGACGGUACCCGUCGAGGAAGCCACGGCUAACUACGUGCCAGCAGCGGC
rnacentral:rRNA from 1 species